CAGUGUGUCAACCAGGGCUGGGAGCUCAUCUGAAGGCUCAACAGGGGAUGUAUCCACUGCAGGCCUCUUCUCAGGAUAUUGUUGACACAAUUUAGCUCCUUGAGGGUGCUGGACUGAGGGCCUCACUUCCUAGAUGACUGUUGGCCAGUGGCCACCAGCAAUUCUUUGCCACAUGAGCCUCUCCAGUAUUGCAGCUUGCUUCAUCAAAGUGUGCAAGACAAGAAGACAAAAAAGAGAGCUGCAAGAAAGACGGAAACCAAGAUCUCAUGUAACCUAAUGACAGAGGACGAAGUCUUGCUCUGUUGACCAAGCUGGAUGGAGUGCAGUGGUGCGAUCACAACUCACUGCAACCUUGACCUCCUGGGCCCAAGCAAUCCUCCUGCUUCAGCCUACCAAAGUGUUGGGAUUACAGGAAUGAGCUACCAUGCCCAGCCAAAAGCCCAGGGUUUUGUUGGAUGGUAGUACAAGGAGAUGCUUUCUCACUGCACCCCCACCUCCCAUCUUUGAGGAUAAAC
rnacentral:lncRNA from 10 species